GAUGAACGCUGGCGGCGUGCCUAAUACAUGCAAGUCGAGCGAACGGACGAGAAGCUUGCUUCUCUGAUGUUAGCGGCGGACGGGUGUGUAACACGUGGAUAACCUACCUAUAAGUCUGGGAUCACUUCGGGAAACCGGCGCUAAUACCGGAUAAUAUUUUGAACCGCAUGGUUCAAAAGUGAAAGACGGUCUUGCUGUCACUUAUAGAUGGAUCCGCGCUGCAUUAGCUAGUUGGUAAGGUAACAGCUUAUCAAGGCAACGAUGCAUAGCCGACCUGAGAGGGUGAUCGGCCACACGGGAACUGGGACACGGUCCAGACGCCUACGGGAGGCAGCAGUAGGGUAUCUUCCGCAAUAGGCGAAAGCCUGACGGAGCGACGCCGCGUGAGUGAUGAAGGUCUUCGGAGCGUAAAACUCUGUUAUGAGGGAAGAACAUAUGUGUAAGUAACUGUGCACAUCUUGACGGUACCUAAUCAGAAAGCCACGGCUAACUACGUG
rnacentral:rRNA from 1 species